rnacentral:rRNA from 1 species
UUGAACGCUGGCGGCAGGCCUAACACAUGCAAGUCGAACGGUAACAGGAAGAAGCUUGCUUCUUUGCUGACGAGUGGCGGACGGGUGAGUAAUGUCUGGGAAACUGCCUGAUGGAGGGGGAUAACUACUGGAAACGGUAGCUAAUACCGCAUAACGUCGCAAGACCAAAGAGGGGGACCUUCGGGCCUCUUGCCAUCGGAUGUGCCCAGAUGGGAUUAGCUAGUAGGUGGGGUAACGGCUCACCUAGGCGACGAUCCCUAGCUGGUCUGAGAGGAUGACCAGCCACACUGGAACUGAGACACGGUCCAGACUCCUACGGGAGGCAGCAGUGGGGAAUAUUGCACAAUGGGCGCAAGCCUGAUGCAGCCAUGCCGCGUGUAUGAAGAAGGCCUUCGGGUUGUAAAGUACUUUCAGCGGGGAGGAAGGGAGUAAAGUUAAUACCUUUGCUCAUUGACGUUACCCGCAGAAGAAGCACCGGCUAACUCCGUGCCAGCAGCCGCGGUAAUACGGAGGGUGCAAGCGUUAAUCGGAAUUACUGGGCGUAAAGCGCACGCAGGCGGUUUGUUAAGUCAGAUGUGAAAUCCCCGGGCUCAACCUGGGAACUGCAUCUGAUACUGGCAAGCUUGAGUCUCGUAGAGGGGGGUAGAAUUCCAGGUGUAGCGGUGAAAUGCGUAGAGAUCUGGAGGAAUACCGGUGGCGAAGGCGGCCCCCUGGACGAAGACUGACGCUCAGGUGCGAAAGCGUGGGGAGCAAACAGGAUUAGAUACCCUGGUAGUCCACGCCGUAAACGAUGUCGACUUGGAGGUUGUGCCCUUGAGGCGUGGCUUCCGGAGCUAACGCGUUAAGUCGACCGCCUGGGGAGUACGGCCGCAAGGUUAAAACUCAAAUGAAUUGACGGGGGCCCGCACAAGCGGUGGAGCAUGUGGUUUAAUUCGAUGCAACGCGAAGAACCUUACCUGGUCUUGACAUCCACGGAAGUUUUCAGAGAUGAGAAUGUGCCUUCGGGAACCGUGAGACAGGUGCUGCAUGGCUGUCGUCAGCUCGUGUUGUGAAAUGUUGGGUUAAGUCCCGCAACGAGCGCAACCCUUAUCCUUUGUUGCCAGCGGUCCGGCCGGGAACUCAAAGGAGACUGCCAGUGAUAAACUGGAGGAAGGUGAGGAUGACGUCAAGUCAUCAUGGCCCUUACGACCAGGGCUACACACGUGCUACAAUGGCGCAUACAAAGAGAAGCGACCUCGCGAGAGCAAGCGGACCUCAUAAAGUGCGUCGUAGUCCGGAUUGGAGUCUGCAACUCGACUCCAUGAAGUCGGAAUCACUAGUAAUCGUGGAUCAGAAUGCCACGGUGAAUACGUUCCCGGGCCUUGUACACACCGCCCGUCACACCAUGGGAGUGGGUUGCAAAAGAAGUAGGUAGCUUAACCUUCGGGAGGGCGCUUACCACUUUGUGAUUCAUGACUGGGGUG